ACAGGAGCCCCGACAGACCAGGCUGGACUGGACAGGCAUCCUCAGCAGAGCAGCACAGACAUCCCUUCAGCUGCUCAUAAAGCUGACAGGGGUUGAGAUUGGUCUUUCCCCCACACAACUUUCAGACCACUUUCACUAACAGCUUGCAUAAAAGAAGCUCUGCAGUCCCCUUCCUCCUUACUUCUGUAUUUACUCUUGUGUUUCACCUGUAGCAAUACACCAGCAAUUGUGAAAAUCCCCUCAGGUACUUUGUUUUACCAGGUUAUUUGCAGAAGGUGUUGGAAGGACUCCUAAUGAUGGCCCUGGCUUGUGGUGCAAGUUUCAGUAUGUGCAGGAUUUCAGGAAAAAACUUCUCCGCUAAAUCAGCCCUUUCACAAAGGUUUUUGUGGAGUGAAUCUCUGGAUUGCUGCUGUGAUUCCUUUGUGGAAGAUAAACAACCCAAGGACGGGCAGGGUUCUGGAUGAAUUUAAAGCAGUUGCCUCAAAGUGAUUAGCAUGGUUGUACACACAUGCUGGUUAUUACACAUGCAAAUGAGACAAGCACGCUGAUUUUGGGAGCAAGCAUAGCCAGUUUGUGCAACUGCUGUUUCCUGAGGCAAGAUGGAUGUGCCAUGCUGGCAAAGCUUUUAAUCCCCACCUCCUCCAAAAUCCUCCCCAAAACAAGGCAGACCACCUCUACCUGGCACCUUUCAGGAAACAACCACCUGCCCUGGGCCUGAUCCUGCUCGCUGGGUGAGAGUGGCCCCAGAGAUUCCUCCUUUGUGCUGGCAAGGUCUGUGCUCAUCGCUGGGGGAAGAGGGCUCCUCCCUGCUCAGAAGUUUCCCAUCUCUUUGCAGCAGCAGUUUGUGUGUUCACCCCGCAGGUGGCACAGAGAGGGGUGAGUUUUGGGCUGCAGGGACUAACCCAGUAUUGAGGUUUGGUGAUAUUUAUUGCUUAGUUGUUUUCUUUGCACUACUAAAAACCCUAACAGAGAUAAAGGCAUAAGACAGGAGACUUUCGAGGCCAUUAAAAUUUAUGAGAACUGGCUGUCCCAAUCCCAUAGAUGGCUCUAAAAUCUCAGGCUCCAUCAAGGCCUGCAGAAUAAAUUUGGCAUCAGGACCAGGUUUCAUUCAUGUGCUCCAUUUACUCAGGGAUUUUAUCUGCAGCCCCUCUGCUUUCCCAAGCUACAAUACACUUUGAGUCAGACUGUCCAGCUCCAUCCUGCCACGCCUAUGCCAGCCUCUGUCUCCUCAGGCUCUGAGAAACAGAGAGCACAGUGUAUUUUGAGCGAUAUCCCACGUGCUGUACAGUGCAGAAACAGAUGGAGAGUUCCUUAAUCUCCUCCCCACUUGAUUCUGCACAGGAAUAACAUCUCCUGCUCACAGCAGCUAUACAUGUCUGCGGUAUUUAUUGACAGGGACUUGUUUUAGGAAACAUCUCUUCAAUAGAAGAUGCCUAUUUAUUCAUAAACUGAAAGAGUUUGCAGAACACAGUCACUUCUGAUGUCAAGAUUCUGACCACUGGGCUUGCAGGGUGUUUUUUCUAGAAAAUGCUGAAGCCAUAAUGAAAGGUAACACUUACUUCUUGCAUCAUAGCAAGUUGAGGCCGAAGUGGGGAAUAGUUGCAAGGCAAGUACAGAGAACCUUUAAUCUGCUUUUUUCUCAUGGAAAGAUGUUAAGAUGUAACGUAAGACCUUGAAUCUCCAAACCCCUUAAGUCCUACUGGUUCCUGUGGAGUAUAAACCUCUGCUUAGGAGCUUUCCCUGACCUGGCACUUUAUGUGUCACUCCAAGGUGCUGCCCCCGCAGGUCCUUGGGAACGCUCUGCCCCAGGAGCUCGGAGCUCAGAGGGGCCCCUGCCCCACAGCUCAGCUCCCUGUGCUGCCCCAGGCACUGUGCACUCCAUCUCUAGGAAGGCAAACCCCUACACUCCUCUGCAACCACUACUGCACAGCAGAGCAUCCAUAAAAACAGAAUCAAGAUAAAGCCACUUAUAUUUUGCUUUGGAAACAUAUGAGAUCUUAAUUUUGACAUUUGCCUGGAAAAGCCAAGGUUGAAUAAUGCUUAAUUAUUUGAUUUCAAUUAUAGCUGUAAUAAGUUUAUCUGUUGAGAGAGUAAGCCUGUUUAGUUUAAAAGAGGAUACAACGCUUCUGCUGAUUCUGUGUCAAUGCUUUGUUUGCCUACAGGCACCCAAAGAGCUGCAGCUACAACUGCUGCUGACUAAGUCUUCUUUCAGAGCAAAGCCCAGAUGCAAAUGGUGUGCUGGAGAAGAGAAUUAUACAUGAAUGAAAAUACUGAAAAGGCAAACUUGAAAGACAUACACUGUCUUUAGACAUCAGUGCAGUGACAGCUCUCAAGAGAGGAUGAGAGGGGAAGCAUGUCCUAUUUCUGCUGCUGCUAGCAUGGGGGAAAUCAAAAAAAGAAAACAAAUGAAUGGCACAUGGAAGCUGAAGUUUCCCGUUUUUCUCUUGGCCUUGCCUUGUGCCCAGGAUGAUGCAAUCCCAGCAAGCAGCACUGCUGGGAGACAUCCAGCCCCUGAUGUCUGGAGAGGCUGCCUGGAACCCAGGCUGGGCACCCCCACAGCCCUGGACACACCCAGAGCUCUUGUGUGUCCUCCCUGCACAUCCUUGUAGACAAACCUUGCGGCCAUUCUUCAGCUGAGCCGGGGUCUCACCUGAGACUGCUGCCACCAUCAACCCCCUUUCCCAGCCUCUUGGACUCUGCUGUCUUCAUCUUGCUCACACAUUCCUGCCCUUUGUGCUGUGCAGGUGCUGCUCUUGGAGCACAGAGGUCGGGAUGGCAGAGUGGCACUACACAGCCCAGCCUUUCCCUGGAAGACAGCGAGAGACCCAGACCCGGCUGGAGCUUCCCCCUGUGCCCAGAGCAUCCCACCUGCCCUGCAUCCCUGCUCAGCAGCUGCUCUGGGGCCAGGCUCCCGACCCCUGCACUGACAAAACCUUCUCUAGUGUGGGGCUCUCCUCUCAUCUCCCAUUCCCACCAUCUGUCUUGCAUUCAAGCGGACAGAGGUUUGGAUUCAGAAAAGGCAAAUAUGUAAAGCAAAAAUAUAAAGCAAAAAUAAAGACUGCCUUCCACCUCAGCACUGGUGAGUGUUUGGGAACAGCUCUUAAGAUGCCUUUGGGAUUUUACCCUUCACCAGGGAGAGACGA